AUAUAUAUAUAUAUAUAUAAGGCUAUAUUAUAGAAAACAACCGUGUAAAUACUAUUUUUUUUAUUUUUUCUCUCUGAUUUUUAAAAAUCUAUAUUUUACUUCUUUAAAAUUUUAAAAAUAUUUUCAGGUGGUACGAGACCAAAUUAUUCAUCUUCAGUAAUAUUUUUUUUAGUAUAUUUUUAUUAUUUUGCAUGACAUUUUUAAUGCACGAAAUAGUGAUGGAACUCUGACGAAGGGGGUCUAAAUGCAACAACUUGAAAUGUUAACGAAUAAAAUAUAAAUUUUAAAAAUUAAAAAGUGAAAAAGUGGGCAUAUCUAUAAAGGGUUUUUUUUCUAAUUUAGUAUAUAUAUUAUCAUUAUACUAUUAUUAUAAUUAACAAAUUUUUAAACUUAAUUAAGUAAAUGCAUGUUUUCGAAUUUUAUUUCAAGAGUACUCUGUGUUAACGGAAAAAUAAAAUUAGCUUAAUUAAUUUUAAGCGUUGAAUUUUACUGAGGCUCGAUAAAAAAAAAAACGGCCAAUUUGCAUAAAAAAUCUACUAAUUUUGCGCUUUUGCAAAAGUGGGCCAACUUUUUAGUUUUUGCAAAUUCGGACCAAAUUUUCAGAAGAAUGACAAAACUACCCUUCUGUCAAAAUGCAUAAAAAUUAUAUACUUUAAAUGUCUAAAAAAUACAACUGUUAAGUCACUAAGUGUAAAACUUCUUGAAAUGACAACUACUAAGUCAUAAUUACAUGUACCUUUCUCGUGAAACGAAAAAUCUCAUUCAAGAGAAAAUAAAAAAAAUAAUUAAUAAGAUGAAAGAGUGCAACAUCCUCUCAAAUAGUGCAACAAACUCUUCAAAAUAAUGCAAUAUCAGUAUAAGUAGUGCAACAUAUGCAUUGUUAAUACACAUUUUGCAUAAUUUUUACACUAAAUUACGCAUAAUUUAGUAUAUUACGAAAAAAUAAUAUAUUAUAUUACAACAUACUAUAAAAAUUAUACAAUAUAUAUAUAAACGGUGCAUAUUUUACACUAUUUGUACAGAUAUUUACACAAUUUGUGUAAAUGUUACACUAUUCUGAGAGGAUAUUGCACCAUUUAGAUGUGUGUUACACUCUUUCUUUUUGAAAAUUAAAUUUCAUUCCAUAUUAAAUAAAGUGUAAAAUUUCUUGGAAAUGACAACUGCUAAACCAUAAUUACAUGCAUGUACCUUUCUCGUGAAACAAGAAAUCUCAUUCAAGAGAAAAUAAAAAGAAUAAAGAAUAAUUAAUAAAAUGAAAGAGUGCAACAUCCUUUCAAAUAGUGCAACAAGCUUUUCAAAGUAGUGCAAUAUCUCUAUAAAUAAUGCAACAUAUGCAUUGUUAAUAAAUAUUUUGUAAGACUUUUACACUAAAUUACGCACGGUUUAGUAUAUUACGCGAAAAUAAUAUAUUAUAUUACAACAUACUAUAAAAAUUAUACAAUAUAUGUACAAACGGUGCAUAUUUUACACUAUUUGUAUAGAUAUUUACACCAUUUGUGUAAAUAUUGCACUAUUAUGAGAGAAUGUUGCACCAUUUAGAUGUGUGUUGCACUCUUUCUUUUUGAAAAUUAAAUUUCAUUGCAUAUUAAAUAAAAUAUAAAACUUCUUGGAAAUGACAAUUACUAAGUCAUAAUUACAUGCAUGUACCUUUCUCGUGAAACGAGAAAUCUCAUUCAAGAGAAAAUAAAAAAAAUAAAGAUUAAUUAAUAAGAUGAAAGAGUGCAAUAUCCUCUCAAAUAGUGCAACAAUCUCUUCAAAAUAGUGCAAUAUCUGUAUAAGUAGUGCAACAUAUGCAUUGUUAAUACACAUUUUGCAUGAUUUUUACACUAAGUUACGUACAGUUUAGUAUAUUACACAAAAAUAAUAUAAUAUAUUACAAUAUAUUAUAAAAAUUAUACAAUAUAUGUACAAACGGUGCAUAUUUUACACUAUUUAUACAUAUAUUUACACCAUUUCUGUAAAUGUUGCACUAUUAUGAGAGAAUGUUGCACCAUUUAGAUGUGUGUUGCACUCUUUCUUUUUGAAAAUUAAAUUUCAUUGCAUAUUAAAUAAAGUGUCAAACUUCUUGGAAAUGACAACUGCUAAGCCAUAAUUACAUGCAUGUACCUUUCUCGUGAAACGAGAAACCUCAUUCAAGAGAAAAUAAAAAAAAUAAAGAUUAAUUAAUAAGAUGAAAGAGUGCAAUAUCCUCUCAAAUAGUGCAACAAUCUCUUCAAAAUAGUGCAAUAUCUGUAUAAUUAGUGCAACAUAUGCAUUGUUAAUACACAUUUUGCAUGAUUUUUACACUAAGUUACGUACAGUUUAGUAUAUUACGCGAAAAUAAUAUAAUAUAUUACAAUAUAUUAUAAAAAUUAUACAAUAUAUGUACAAACGGUGCAUAUUUUACACUAUUUAUACAUAUAUUUACACCAUUUGUGUAAAUGUUGCACUAUUAUGAGAGAAUGUUGCACCAUUUAGAUGUGUGUUGCACUCUUUCUUUUUGAAAAUUAAAUUUCAUUGCAUAUUAAAUAAAGUGUAAAACUUCUUGGAAAUGACAACUGCUAAGCCAUAAUUACAUGCAUGUACCUUUCUCGUGAAACGAGAAACCUCAUUCAAGAGAAAAUAAAAAAAAUAAAGAUUAAUUAAUAAGAUGAAAGAGUGCAAUAUCCUCUCAAAUAGUGCAACAAUCUCUUCAAAAUAGUGCAAUAUCUGUAUAAUUAGUGCAACAUAUGCAUUGUUAAUACACAUUUUGCAUGAUUUUUACACUAAGUUACGUACAGUUUAGUAUAUUACGCGAAAAUAAUAUAAUAUAUUACAAUAUAUUAUAAAAAUUAUACAAUAUAUGUACAAACGGUGCAUAUUUUACACUAUUUAUACAUAUAUUUACACCAUUUGUGUAAAUGUUGCACUAUUAUGAGAGAAUGUUGCACCAUUUAGAUGUGUGUUGCACUCUUUCUUUUUGAAAAUUAAAUUUCAUUGCAUAUUAAAUAAAGUGUCAAACUUCUUGAAAAUGACAACUGCUAAGCCAUAAUUACAUGUACCUUUCUCGUGAAACGAGAAACCUCAUUCAAAAGAAAAUAAAAAAAUAAAGAAUAAUUAGUAAGAUGAAAGAGUGCAACAUCCUCUCAAAUAGUGCAACAAGCUCUUCAAAAUAGUGCAAUAUCUGUAUAAGUAGUGCAACAUACGCAUUGUUAAUACACAUUUUACAUAAUUUUUACACUAAAUUACAUACAGUUUAAUAUAUUACGCGAAAAUAAUAUGCAACAUAUAAUAUAAUAAACUGUAUGUAAUUAAUUUAGUGUAAAAAUCAUACAAAAUGUGUAUUAACAAUGCAUAUGUUGCACUACUUAUACAGAUAUUGCACUAUUUUGAAGAGAUUGUUGCACUAUUUGAGAGGAUAUUGCACUCUUUCAUCUUAUUAAUUAAUCUUUAUUUUUUUUAUUUUCUCUUGAAUGAGGUUUCUCGUUUCACGAGAAAGGUACAUGCAUGUAAUUAUGGCUUAGCAGUUGUCAUUUCCAAGAAGUUUUACACUUCAUUUAAUAUGCAAUGAAAUUUAAUUUUCAAAAAGAAAGAGUGCAACACACAUCUAAAUGGUGCAACAUCCUCUCAUAAUAGUGCAACAUUUACACAAAUGGUGUAAAUAUAUGUAUAAAUAGUGUAAAAUAUGCACCGUUUGUACAUAUAUUGUAUAAUUUUUAUAAUAUAUUGUAAUAUAUUAUAUUAUUUUCGUGUAAUAUACUAAACUGUACGUAACUUAGUGUAAAAAUCAUGCAAAAUGUGUAUUAACAAUGCAUAUGUUGCACUACUUAUACAGAUAUUGCACUAUUUUGAAGAGAUUGUUGCACUAUUUGAGAGGAUAUUGCACUCUUUCAUCUUAUUAAUUAAUCUUUAUUUUUUUUAUUUUCUCUUGAAUGAGGUUUCUCGUUUCACGAGAAAGGUACAUGCAUGUAAUUAUGGCUUAGCAGUUGUCAUUUCCAAGAAGUUUUACACUUCAUUUAAUAUGCAAUGAAAUUUAAUUUUCAAAAAGAAAGAGUGCAACACACAUCUAAAUGGUGCAACAUUCUCUCAUAAUAGUGCAACAUUUACACAAAUGGUGUAAAUAUAUGUAUAAAUAAUGUAAAAUAUGCACCGUUUGUACAUAUAUUGUAUAAUUUUUAUAAUAUAUUGUAAUAUAUUAUAUUAUUUUUGUGUAAUAUACUAAACUGUACGUAACUUAGUGUAAAAAUCAUGCAAAAUGUGUAUUAACAAUGCAUAUGUUGCACUACUUAUACAGAUAUUGCACUAUUUUGAAGAGAUUGUUGCACUAUUUGAGAGGAUAUUGCACUCUUUCAUCUUAUUAAUUAAUCUUUAUUUUUUUUAUUUUCUCUUGAAUGAGGUUUCUCGUUUCACGAGAAAGGUACAUGCAUGUAAUUAUGGCUUAGCAGUUGUCAUUUCCAAGAAGUUUUACACUUCAUUUAAUAUGCAAUGAAAUUUAAUUUUCAAAAAGAAAGAGUGCAACACACAUCUAAAUGGUGCAACAUUCUCUCAUAAUAGUGCAACAUUUACACAAAUGGUGUAAAUAUAUGUAUAAAUAGUGUAAAAUAUGCACCGUUUGUACAUAUAUUGUAUAAUUUUUAUAAUAUAUUGUAAUAUAUUAUAUUAUUUUUGUGUAAUAUACUAAACUGUACGUAACUUAGUGUAAAAAUCAUGCAAAAUGUGUAUUAACAAUGCAUAUGUUGCACUACUUAUACAGAUAUUGCACUAUUUUGAAGAGAUUGUUGCACUAUUUGAGAGGAUAUUGCACUCUUUCAUCUUAUUAAUUAAUCUUUAUUUUUUUUAUUUUCUCUUGAAUGAGGUUUCUCGUUUCACGAGAAAGGUACAUGCAUGUAAUUAUGGCUUAGCAGUUGUCAUUUCCAAGAAGUUUUACACUUCAUUUAAUAUGCAAUGAAAUUUAAUUUUCAAAAAGAAAGAGUGCAACACACAUCUAAAUGGUGCAACAUUCUCUCAUAAUAGUGCAACAUUUACACAAAUGGUGUAAAUAUAUGUAUAAAUAAUGUAAAAUAUGCACCGUUUGUACAUAUAUUGUAUAAUUUUUAUAAUAUAUUGUAAUAUAUUAUAUUAUUUUCGUGUAAUAUACUAAACUGUACGUAACUUAGUGUAAAAAUCAUGCAAAAUGUGUAUUAACAAUGCAUAUGUUGCACUACUUAUACAGAUAUUGCACUAUUUUGAAGAGAUUGUUGCACUAUUUGAGAGGAUAUUGCACUCUUUCAUCUUAUUAAUUAAUCUUUAUUUUUUUUAUUUUCUCUUGAAUGAGGUUUCUUUUUUUACAAGAAAGGUACAUGUAUAUAAUUAUGGCUUAGCAGUUGUCAUUUCCAAGAAGUUUUAUACAUAAUGACUUAGCAGUUGUAUUUUUCUAGAUUUUUAAAGUAUAUUAUUUUUAUGAAUUUUGAAAGAGGGGUAGUUUGGUCAUCCUUCUGAAAAUUCGGCCCGAAUCUGCAAAAACUAAAAAGGUGGCCCACUUUUGCAAAAGCGCAAAAUUAGUGGAUUUUUUAUGCAAAUUGGCCAAAGAAAACUGAUCGUUUAAUUAAAUCGGA
rnacentral:lncRNA from 1 species